GACGAACGCUGGCGGCGUGCUUAACACAUGCAAGUCGAACGGAAAGGCCCUGCUUUUGUUGGGUGCUCGAGUGGCGAACGGGUGAGUAACACGUGAGUAACCUGCCCUUGACUUUGGGAUAACUUCAGGAAACUGGGGCUAAUACCGGAUAGGAGCUCCUGCUGCAUGGUGGGGGUUGGAAAGUUUCGGCGGUUGGGGAUGGACUCGCGGCUUAUCAGCUUGUUGGUGGGGUAGUGGCUUACCAAGGCUUUGACGGGUAGCCGGCAUGAGAGGGUGACCGGCCACAUUGGGACUGAGAUACGGCGCAGACUGCUACGUGAGGCAGCAGUGGGGAAUAUGGCAGAAUGGGCGGAAGCCUGAUGCAGCAACGCCGCGUGCGGGAUGACGGCCUUCGGGUGGUAAACCGCUUUCGCCUGUGACGAAGCGUGAGUGACGGUAAUGGGUAAAGAAGCACCGGCUAACUACGUG
rnacentral:rRNA from 1 species